GUUUACAGCCAUACCACCCUGAACGCGACCGAUCUCGUCUGAUCUCGGAAGCUAAGCAGGGUCAGUCCUGGUUAGUACUUGGAUGGGAGACCGCCUGGGAAUACUGGGUGCUGUAGGCU
ensembl:rRNA 5S_rRNA 5S ribosomal RNA